UGUGCAGGAUCUUUUCCUGUGGGACUGCAGAUGUUCACAGAAGUACAAAGGAAGACUUAUUGCUCUGGUAGGGAGCAAAGUCAUUUUGGGAACCAUCUACAGAUAAUGACAACAAAGACUCACUAACUCUGUGCGUUAAUCACUUGAUGAGCUUCAGGUUGGCAAAGCUGAAAGCAUCCCAAUUUAAGAUCAACUCUGUUUUCAGAGACAAUAAAUUCAUGCUCCAGCUACAAAGACUUUCAGAAGUGAGAACACUUGGUAUCCUGCUGUGUGAGCAGCAUAUUGGCAGAAUAAAGAUUUCCCAUCAAAACUGAAGACCCAAACAUACAGAGGAGUAGCUGAAAUCCUCAACUCCUGUGCUAGACCUAUUUGCUCUCCAAAAAAUUACCAUGUCUUUUAUGGAAGUGUUUCGUUGUCAUGGAGUCUCUGGUUCUGACAGAAAAGUUGUUCAUGAAUUUGUCUUGAGCAGUUAAAAGGCUCCGGAAAACACACCUGGGAGCAUUAGUGACCCUCCACUGCUGCUGCUGUAGCAUCACAUCUUCAAACUUCCAAAGAGCAGGACCAGAAGAAGGAAGAGCUUUCUAUUUUUCCCUUUUUUAUUACAUCAUACUCAGUCUGAUUCUUUCUUCUGAGAUUGAAAAGCUGCCAGUUUUCAAGUGUCCCUCAUUAACUUUUAAAACCUAAGCUCUGCUAAAGUGGAGUUAUUAGUUUUUUCCUGGCACUGCCUGAAAUUGCAGUACCCACAUAAGAGCACUAAAUCCUAAUAGCUACUCAAGGCAUAGCAGGAACCAGUGCCUAGUGUGAGAUGUGCCAAUAAAUAUUUGUACACAAGAGGUUCUAAGGGACAGGGAUUGGAGCUGCAGGUGGUUAUGGGCGCUUUUGGAAGGACAGUGGUCAAGCUGUCUCAAAGAAAAAUUACCUUUAAAAGUCAAAGUAUAAGAAAAUAUAUAGUAAAAAAUAACAUUUCUGUUAUUUAUGGACAUGCAGGUAUCUCAUAGAGAUACACAGGAUGAGUUUCAUGCUAAAGAGAGGCUGAAUUAAGGGGAUUCCAGGGAUGAGGGUUGGUAAGCACAGGGUUGGACAUGUCUUUAAGGUGAACCUAAAUAGCAACAUAAACAUAACCAGAAUGCCACAAGCCAGAUUCUGAUCCCCCACAAACCACUCAAGGGCUCUGCAACACCAUCAGUUUGACAUCUGUACUCUCCUACUCCAUCAGGAACCUGGGAUUUAUUAAUAAUUGUCUGGAGGAAUUGGAUUGAAAGUGCCAAGUCAAAUAUAUUUCAAUCUCUCUUUGACAGAAUGUAGGACUAAAAGAUUCUAAACAAUUUCUACUGAUUUGCUUUUCCUUUUAUAGUGGAAUUACAGCCACCAAAGCUCAGACUUUUUGAUACCUACAGAUCUGCAGUGUCAGAGUAAUGAGAACAGUAUGAAAUUUAGUAAGCAGCUUGUUUUGAAGGUAUCUAAAUGAAAUAACACAGGAAGCAAGCAGCACAAAAGAGCACAAAAAGCCCUGUUUUCAAAUAAAGGGUCUGGCCAUCAGCUUUUUAAGAAGCUGGACUUCAUUAGAGUCAACCAUUUCUACUCCUUGUGCUAGUAAAUGCCCCUACACAUCUCUCCAAUAACUACUGUGCUGGUCUUGAAAAUAAUUCUGUGCUUCUCUUCAGUUAGAAGGUGGCUGUUAAAAGGUGCAGCCAAAGAAUGAUCAUGCUGGAAGGUUCUUACCCACCUUCCACCCAGCCAUGUGGAACAGCACCAAGUCAGACUUGCAAAGGAUGUAUUAAAAACAAACUAAAACUAGUGCAAAAUCCAGGGAUUUAUGAUGCUGCUGAAUGAAGCCACAUAAAUAAUUCAGUAUUAAUAGGACUUUAAACCUUCCUAGAUGUACUGAACCUGAUAGAAAAUUAACUUCAGCACCUGACUUUUACUUCCAAAAAAGUAAUGUAUCUUUUUCCUUCCUUUCCUCUUGAAAUUGAUUCUCUUUCCUUCCUUUUACUAAACUGGUAAACUGCCAAAAUCCCCAGACUGGAGUCAUGGAUCAAUAGUCUGUAACCAUUCUGCAGCAGUGAUGUCCUUAAGGAGAAGGAAGGACCUCUCCUUGCUUUCAUUUCAAAUAUCCUGAAGCCUGCAGCAGACACCUUCUGAGCAAGCCAGAUCCAAGCACAUUCUCCUCAUGUGAAGGUUGUGCUUCAGUUCUGGAGAACACUGGGGAUGUUUAAGAAAAUAAAAGCCAAGCUGAAUGGCUCAAAAUACUUCCUACACCUGCAAAAUAAAAAUUUCACAUUUCUCCCUAUGACACCUGCUAUAUAAAGGAGGGUCAAAGAUUCAUGAGCAGGCAGACAGAAGCUUGGAGUUCCAAGAAAACACAGGAUAUUCUUGGAAAAUGAACUUGGGUUUAGUUCUGUGGCACAUUCAGAGGCAGCACGAAGUUGGAUGAGGAGCUGCCCUUUCAAACACUGUCUGUGAUGUACAAAGAGAUCCCAAACAACCCCAGAACUUGCUACUCCUUAGAGUUUCACACCUACAUGCACACACACACACUUUUUAUGAAUAGAUUUUUAUUUCUGGAGAGCUGCUAGAGAAGCCUGAUAGGGUGUGCUGGCACACUGUGACCCACAGGAUCAUCAGGCUUAGAAGGAAUCCCAAAUGGGUCAAGCCAAUCCAUCAUCUUCCUCCAGAGCAGAAGGGAGCUCAGCAUCCCUAAACUCCCCAAAAAGUGGUGUCAAACCUGCUGGGGCUGCUCAGCUGCCCUGGAACCUCACUGCACUGACCCUUCUCACAUGGCUUUUCCUAAGCCUUCUCUGCCCUUAUUGCCUAAUCAAAAUAAUUGGUCCCUGUCCUUUCUCUAACAGUCCUUAAAUGUGUUUGCAGACACUUGGAGUUUUCUUUUGGUCUAGACUGAGCGCAACCCUUGAGUUUUCCACAGGGAUUGCAAAGGUUGAUGAUCUCCCUGGGGCUGAGAGCAGGGCCUGGCCUCAGCAGGUAACAGCUGCUGGGAGGACUCAGCCAUCAACACAGCCCUGCCACUCACACCAACAGCUCCAAACAUUCCUCACAUUAGGGGGAAAUUUCAGUUUCUCCAGACACACCACCAUAACUUAUUUAUUGCUGCUCUGCCUCUGGAAGCUGUCUGCUCUUAAGAGAAGUACAUUUGAUUUUGCUA